rnacentral:rRNA from 1 species
UACGAAGGGGGCUAGCGUUGCUCGGAAUCACUGGGCGUAAAGGGUGCGUAGGCGGGUCUUUAAGUCAGGGGUGAAAUCCUGGAGCUCAACUCCAGAACUGCCUUUGAUACUGAAGAUCUUGAGUUCGGGAGAGGUGAGUGGAACUGCGAGUGUAGAGGUGAAAUGCGUAGAUAUCGUAAGGAAGACCAGUGGCGAAGGCGAGUCUCUGGACAGUUACUGACACUGAGGCACGAAGGCCAGGGGAGCAAACGGG